rnacentral:rRNA from 1 species
GUGGGGAAUAUUGGACAAUGGGCGAAAGCCUGAUCCAGCCAUGCCGCGUGUGUGAAGAAGGUCUUCGGAUUGUAAAGCACUUUAAGUUGGGAGGAAGAGUAGUAACCUAAUACGUUGCUACUUUGACGUUACCGACAGAAUAAGCACCGGCUAACUUCGUGCCAGCAGCCGCGGUAAUACGAAGGGGGCUAGCGUUGCUCGGAAUUACUGGGCGUAAAGCGCGCGUAGGUGGUUCAGUAAGUUGGAAGUGAAAUCCCCGGGCUCAACCUGGGAACUGCUUUCAAAACUGCUGAGCUAGAGUACGGUAGAGGGUGGUGGAAUUUCCUGUGUAGCGGUGAAAUGCGUAGAUAUAGGAAGGAACACCAGUGGCGAAGGCGACCACCUGGACUGAUACUGACACUGAGGUGCGAAAGCGUGGGGAGCAAACAGGAUUAGAUACCCUUGUAGUCC